rnacentral:lncRNA from 1 species
GGCGACCUAGGUGACAAUAGAACUGCUUCCAGGUCUGUGUGGAAGUGAAUCUGAUUAGCAUCUGUGUGCAGGUAAAGCUAUUGUGAGCACCAACGAAACUUUAGGUACAGUCACAACUGGGACUUAGACCUACGUUACUGGAAUGCUAACAUACGAUUGAAAGCCUCGCAUCUGGAAGAGGCCCUCACCUCCUUCACCCAGCAGCCUGACAAAGGGUGGAUGUCAAGGGAAAUCUCUCUCACCGCUCAUUCUGUGUACAAUGAUGGUAGCAGUAAGCACAAACCUGGACAAGGAGAGAUGCAAACAAUGGAGGCCCCAACACCAGAGCCUGUGUACAUUGAUGUGGACAAAGGACUAACAUUAGCAUGUUUCGUCGUCCUUUGCCUUUUCUUGAUUGUGAUGAUUAUUCGCUGUGCAAAAGUCAUCAUGGACCCUUACAGCGCCAUCCCAACUUCCACAUGGGAGGAACAGCACCUGGAUGACUGAAAGGAACACUGCUGGAAGCUUUCAGAGCACAACCUGGAUGGCCUUUUCAUUCAGAGAAGGUGAAUGUAUAUUAAACAGAGAUACAGAGUGGUGCAAAUACAGC